rnacentral:tRNA from 1 species
GCCAGGAUAGCUCAGUUAGAGUGUGGUGCUGAUAACGCCAAAGUUGCAGGUUCAAUCCCUGUAUGGGACA